AACGAAGCACUUUAACCUGAUUCUUCGGAUGAAGGUUUUUGUGACUGAGUGGCGGACGGGUGAGUAACGCGUGGGUAACCUGCCUCAUACAGGGGGAUAACAGUUAGAAAUGACUGCUAAUACCGCAUAAGACCACAGAGCCGCAUGGCUCAGUGGGAAAAACUCCGGUGGUAUGAGAUGGACCCGCGUCUGAUUAGGUAGUUGGUACGGUAACGGCCUACCAAGCCAACGAUCAGUAGCCGACCUGAGAGGGUGGCCGGCCACAUUGGGACUGAGACACGGCCCAAACUCCUACGGGAGGCAGCAGUGGGGAAUAUUGCACAAUGGGGGAAACCCUGAUGCAGCGACGCCGCGUGAGCGAAGAAGUAUUUCGGUAUGUAAAGCUCUAUCAGCAGGGAAGAAAAUGACGGUACCUGACUAAGAAGCACCGGCUAAAUACGUGCCAGCAGCCGCGGUAAUACGUAUGGUGCAAGCGUUAUCCGGAUUUACUGGGUGUAAAGGGAGCGUAGACGGCUGUGUAAGUCUGAAGUGAAAGCCCGGGGCUCAACCCCGGGACUGCUUUGGAAACUAUGCAGCUAGAGUGUCGGAGAGGUAAGUGGAAUUCCCAGUGUAGCGGUGAAAUGCGUAGAUAUUGGGAGGAACACCAGUGGCGAAGGCGGCUUACUGGACGAUGACUGACGUUGAGGCUCGAAAGCGUGGGGAGCAAACAGG
rnacentral:rRNA from 1 species